rnacentral:rRNA from 1 species
GAGUUUGAUCCUGGCUCAGGAUGAACGCUAGCGGGAGGCCUAACACAUGCAAGCCGAGCGGUAUGGAUCUUUCGGGAUCCAGAGAGCGGCGUACGGGUGCGGAACACGUGUGCAACCUGCCUUUAUCAGGGGGAUAGCCUUUCGAAAGGAAGAUUAAUACCCCAUAAUAUUUAGAAUGGCAUCAUUUUAAAUUGAAAACUCCGGUGGAUAGAGAUGGGCACGCGCAAGAUUAGAUAGUUGGUGAGGUAACGGCUCACCAAGUCUGCGAUCUUUAGGGGGCCUGAGAGGGUGAUCCCCCACACUGGUACUGAGACACGGACCAGACUCCUACGGGAGGCAGCAGUGAGGAAUAUUGGACAAUGGGUGCGAGCCUGAUCCAGCCAUCCCGCGUGAAGGACGACGGCCCUAUGGGUUGUAAACUUCUUUUGUAUAGGGAUAAACCUACCCUCGUGAGGGUAGCUGAAGGUACUAUACGAAUAAGCACCGGCUAACUCCGUGCCAGCAGCCGCGGUAAUACGGAGGGUGCAAGCGUUAUCCGGAUUUAUUGGGUUUAAAGGGUCCGUACGCGGAUGUGUAAGUCAGUGGUGAAAUCUCACAGCUU